AUGCUUCUCUUUAAAUCCCAGUCAUCUGAGAAUGCGCACGGCUAUGCAGUUCCAACUCCCAUGGUACCGGUUCUUCCACCCUUCAGUGAGCCCAAGAUAAACGGUACAGGAAGUACUACAAACCUCCUAAAUGGAAGGAUGCUUUCUGUUCCUGACCUACUCCAGGGGGAAAUACUUAUACCUCCUCCACCGAGCUCCGCUCCUCCACCCCCUCCAUCAUCUUUAGCCCCACCUCCUCCUUCAUUCAUCCCUCCCCCACCACAGUUCUUUGGUGAAAUGGACCCUUCUUUAGAUUGUGCAAGCCUGCAUCCCCCUCCAGUGGCACCCCCAAAACCACCAUCACUUACCAGUUCCAAUUACAGUGCAGAUUUGGACCUGGCCUCCCUCAAACCUCCUCCAAUGCCUCCUCCAAAACCUCCAUCUGAAACUUCCAGCCUCAGAGGUUCCCUCCAUAGCCUGGAUGUCCAAGAUGUCCCAGAAUGCCCCAAGUUCAACCCACCACCACCUCCUGUUAAAACAUCACCUGUUCUCGAAAAAGCUCAGAAAGCAGAACCUCAAAAACCCGUCCGAGUGAACUCCAUACCUAAUCUGGACAUCCAGUCCCAAACUCCUGUGCCACUUGUUGCUUCCAACCAAACACCAUCUAGCUUCAACCCUCAGAACACAGCAAAACUCUACAGCGUGCAGAAGAGCACACUACUUGGUGGACAGACAGAUAGGGAAAAAAAAGUCCAGUCUAUUCUGCUGCUGGAAGAUUCUGCUGGAAACACAGUUGGUGUAGUCAAUGGGAAUAGUGGGAAAAAUGCUGAAUCUUUCCAACCAGGGGUGCCACCAACCAAACCAGCCCGUCGGAACAGUUCCGCCAAUCAGUUAAAGGAUGACCAGCCAGACAUGGCACAAGCUCCAAGUGAACAAGCCAAGGUAGAGCCCAAAAUCAAUCCUGAGCCUGUAACACCACAAAACAUCCCCACUGAGGUACCAGCACCAAUCAAAGUCUCACCCAAAAUAGAGAAAAGGAUACCUGAUGUUAGGCAGGUGAUGACCCCAGUUGAGUCCCCUGGCAGGCCUCGCAAGUACAGCCCUAUCUUGAACCACCGACAUCUAAACACACGGGGCGCAGACAGCUCAGUAAAGAAAGAGACCUCCAUCUCACCUUUCGCCUUGCUGAUGGCUGCAAAGGAAAGAGAAAAGAGAACUGUUCUGUCCCAACAGAACAGCAAUUCAACAGAGCCAGUGACUUCUGUGAUCCAACCUAGUGUAGAAAAACCAAACUCCUUCACUGUAAUUCCUCGAGAGCCAACACCAGACAGUCCCAAUGCACAAUUAAAGUCGACCACAAACACGCAACCACUCACCUCGCUAUCAACUAAAGUCGAUGUUCCAGAUGUGUCCUACUCAAAGCCAGAGCUAAGCUCAACCCCUCUACAAAGCCCAAUGAACAACUCUGUUAGUGGUCUGGGUGUCCCUGUUAGAGAUGUGGAAAUUGGAGAAGGCUUGGUCUUCAUUCCACCACCUCCUGAAUUUGCCAACUCGGACUCUGAGGAGGAACCUCCAGUUCCCCCACCAAGUCACCCCGCUCCUGCUCCGCCUGUGAAAAGUGCCCCUCCACCUGCUAAAACCUUCUUACCUGCUACACCUGCUCCAAUUAUCAACUGCCCCCCACCAAGUCACCCGGCUCCUGCUACCCCUAUAAAACCUGCCCCUCUACCUUCUAAACCCUUACCUAUUCCAAUCACCAAUGGCUCUCUGCCAAGCCACCCUGGUACUGCUCCAAAAACUGCCAAACCCUCCCUUCCUCCGACACCUCCACCUAUCACCAAUGGCCCCCUCGUUUCCCCCAAACCUAAACCACCUAGCUUUCCUCCCAAGGCCCCAGGACCUCCCCCAAAUAUCCAGCCCCAGUCCAAACCACCUGUUCAAACUAAAGCCACUCAACCCCCUGCACAAGGUCCUCCAUCCGUCUCCGCUAGCCAGGCAACACUUCUCAGUAUCCUGCAGAAGAAGAUGCUAGAGAUGGACCCCAAAUUCUCAGCUGUCAGGGAGGUGGAGACCAACGGAGAUGACUGGAACUCUCCGCUGUCUGAUGACGAGGCAACAUCGCCCCUUACCACAUACAAUCCUAUGACAAACCGCAGUGCCACCCUGCCGGCGCAAACUUGUGGAGUGGACAUGAAGGAGCUGGAAAGCAAAGUGGCCAAAAAAGCUCAAAAUUUGGCCACUUCGGCUAAAUCCCAGAACAGGUAAACUAAGAGUGAACACAAGUGACAAAGUCAAAGUUAACAUGAAACUGUACUCACAAUAACUUCUGUAAUGUGUACUUUUUGAGUGAAACAUGACUGAAAAUUUCAGACAGGAUUUUAUACAUGGGGGGAAAAGAAAAGAUUCACAUUGUGAGGUAUAAAGUCGCAAUUGGGAGACAUAUAGUAGCAAUUACUUUAUUUCUUUUUUACUUUGAGGCGGAAACAGAAUUCCAUAGGAGACUUAGUGACAUCAGAUUUCGUACAGAAAGAUUACGUAACUUUUUUUUUUUUCUUUGAAUAACGCAUACAAUCAUUUAGUCAUCACAGUCAACACUUCCCUCCCAGCACAUGCACAUAGCUGAGAUGAAUCACCAGGAAGAUAAAUAAACUGCCUCUGAUACUGGAACAACAUUCAACAGUUGUUUCCAUGACAUUUAUGAGUUACAAUAUACAUCAGGGCUGGGCAACGUCGGUCCUGGAGGGCCACUGUCCUGCAGAGUUUAGCUCCAACCCUAAUCAAACACACCUGGCUGUAGCUUUCUAGUAAUCUGGAAGACAUUGUUUAUCUUGUUUGAUUAGGGUUGGAGCUAAACUCUGCAGGACAGUGGCCCUCCAGGACCAACUGAUGUACAUGAAACUGCUUUAUUUGGAUGCUUAAACAAACCAACUUGCAGCAUUCAUUUACUUACCGCAUUUCAUUCCAGCCGAUGCCCCCAAAAAUCUUAUGUAAUAAUGAGGAAUUAUUGGUUAAAGUGUGGAACCAAUAGGCAAUUACUUGAAGUUCUAAUACUUCAUGCUUUUAUAACUUUGAAAAAGUGUUUACUAAAGAAUAAUGGGACUCUUCUUUAUCUUUUAGUAACGAACCAUCAACCAAACAGCAGUUUGGAAUGACAUUUACCGUGACACCAGGAGCCAAACAACCAAUAACACCCGUUAUCAAAGAUGGUUCAUCCUGAUCCAUUAUUCCAGAGACGUGCCUUACCUGUACAUACUGUAUGUACCUACCUGACAGAUAUUUAACAUUUUGCACCCCGUCUGGAGCUUUAUUACUGCUGUUGCUAAAGUAUUACUGUAACUUUCUACCUGGACAUUUCUUCAGCCGUCAGUAUAUUCAGAUUGUGCCGAACUCUUACGACCGCAGCUUCAUCACGGACUUUCUAGAGCUGCUAAAAUCGAACAAUGGAGCAACUUUACCUGUAUAUGCUAUACACAGAAACACAUUUUAACGUCAAACCUUUUCAUUAGUUUAAUCCAGUUUCUAAUCAGCUGUUUAGUUCGUAAUUGUAACUUCUGCAUAAUAUUUUUGAAUGUCUUUAAUCAUUAAUGUACAAAAUUACUCUAUAGCUCUCGAUAUGAGAGCUUCUUUCAGUGGUGCUGGAUUUUUUCCAGGUCAAAACGUGAUGUAUUUUUAUUAAUUUAUAAAAAGUAUGCCUUAAAAUCCGAUCAAAUGGUUGCGAAGCCUCGAACACAUUACUGCUGGUUCUUCAAAAUGAAGAAAAAUGCUUUUGCUGCUUUUCAUAGUUAUUUUUUGAAUCUGAAGCAAGAAUCAAAAAAAUAAAUAAUGCAAACUUUGUAUUUGCAUGAAUAUACUGGUUAAAAGUGUACUUGAAGAAAUAAGCUAGCAUCGGCUACAAACAGGUUUUUCUGGAAAUCUCCACAGGUUUAAUUGUGUGAUAUAUGCAAUAGGUCAAUAAUUGUGCUUCAUUAAUCUGCAAACUUAUUUGUAUGACUGUUCAUGUUAAAUUGUUUUUUUGGACAUUUAACCAUUUGUUAGCCCUGAAAGUAAGAAUAUAACCGCAAUAUUGUAUAAUAAAGAUAUGCGAGAGCAUAAAUACACAGAUGACAGAAACUUUAUUGAACAGUUAAUCUUGGAAAUGUGAGAAAUGUCUGUUUGCCCAAAUAUGAAACGAAAAAAGCAUUCAUGCCCAUUUCUGUGAUGAGGCAUUAUUUGAUGGUGACGGAACAGGGGUCAACAAGGCCAAGCCGCCCGGGGCCCAACACACGCCACGCAUGAAAUCCCGGUGCCGCCGGUCCCUGAAACUAAACACGGACCAUACGACAGACUCAGGAUCAGUGCUCUCAAGAUAUAAACGCACUUCUGGAUUGACAGCACUUAGAUUACAUAUUACCAAGCCAUUAUUAUGAAUGUGUACCAGGAUAAUAUCGUUAUGGACAUAUACCAUGGAAAUAAUGUUUUUUUUAAGGACAUUAACAGCGAGUACAAUGAGAACAAUGUAAAUAUCAUGGUACAUGAAUAUGAAUUCAAAAUUCAAUGUUAAUGUUAAGGUGUUUUAAAUAAUUUUGUAACUAUGUUUAAUCAAUAUUAUUAAAUUUAUACAUACACAUAUCUCCCUGUGUGUGUGUGUGUGUGUGUAUAUAUAUAUAUAUAUAGAUAGAUAGAUAGAUAGAUAGAUUUUUUAUUAAUAAUUAAAAUAACAGAAUAAUAAAAAAAAUACAAACCAUAUAUAUUCAAAUAAUUUUACUACAUUCAAUCAAUAAUAUUUAAUAUAAUUAUUAAAUAUUUUAAAUAUACAUUUAAAUUACAUAUCCACUUUUUUAAUAACUUUUCUAUUUUUUAUAUUAUUAUUUUUUUAAUUACACAUAUAUAGACACAUUUAUA
rnacentral:lncRNA from 12 species